AUUGAACGCUGGCGGCAGGCCUAACACAUGCAAGUCGAACGCGUGGCGGACGGGUGAAUUAUGUCUGGGAAACCGCCUGAUGGAGGGGGAUCACUACUGGAAACGGUAGCUAAUACCGCAAACCAUCGGAUGUGCCGAGAUGGGUUUAGCUAGUAGGUGGGGUAAGGGCUCACCUAGGCCACGCUCCCUAGCGGGUCUGAGAGGAUGACCGGCCACACGGGAACUGAGACACGGUCCAGACUCCUACGUGAGGCAGCAGUGGGGAAUAUUGCACAAUGGGCGAAAGCCUGAUGCAGCCAUGCCGCGUGUAUGAAGAAGGCCUGCGGGUUGUAAAGCACUUUCAGCGGGGAGGCGUUACCCGCAGAAGAAGCACCGGCUAACUCCGUGCCAGCAGCCGCGGUAAUAC
rnacentral:rRNA from 1 species